UACGUAGGUGGCAAGCGUUAUCCGGAAUUAUUGGGCGUAAAGCGCGCGCAGGCGGUUUCUUAAGUCUGAUGUGAAAGCCCACGGCUCAACCGUGGAGGGUCAUUGGAAACUGGGGAACUUGAGUGCAGAAGAGAAAAGCGGAAUUCCACGUGUAGCGGUGAAAUGCGUAGAGAUGUGGAGGAACACCAGUGGCGAAGGCGGCUUUUUGGUCUGUAACUGACGCUGAGGCGCGAAAGCGUGGGGAGCGAACCGG
rnacentral:rRNA from 1 species